GAUGAAGAACGUAGCGAAAUGCGAUAAGUCAUGUGAAUUGCAGAAUUCAGUGAAUCAUCGAAUCUUUGAACGCACAUUGCGCCCGCCAGUAUUCUGGCGGGCAUGCCUGUUCGAGCGUCAUUUCAACCAUCAAGCUCCCGGGCUUGCGUUGGGGCCCUGCGGCUGCCGCAGCCUCCCAAAACCAGUGGCGGGCUCGCUAUCACACCGAGUGCAGUAGUUUACUCUUCGCUCAGGGCGUGUGGCGGGUGCUAGCCGUGAAACCCCCAACUUCUCAAGGUUGACCUCGGAUCAGGUAGGAAUACCCGCUGAACUUAAGCAUAUCAAUAAGCGGAGGA
rnacentral:misc_RNA from 1 species